rnacentral:lncRNA from 1 species
AAACAUGAGCUUGAAAGGUUGAGAUGAGUUAGAUUUUGGAGUUCAUCAAACCCAUAGGAAAACAGAGUGGUAUUAAAGUUGUUUCCAGCAAGAUUCAGGUGUUGAAGAUGAUGGAGAUCGAAUAUGGAGUGAAAGCUGCCUGAAAGGUUUUUGUAACUAAGAUCAAUGCCAACGACAUGACCAUAAGCAUCACAAGUGACUCCUUCCCAAGAACAACAAUCAGUGUUGACAUCCCAGAGGUCAAAAUUGGAAGAGAAAGUAAAAUUAGGGGCAUAGUAAAGAUGAUGCUGCAAUUGCAGGAGAGGAGCUCUCUGGUCUUCAAGGCAUUGCUUAGGGAGAUGAGUUUGAGGAGGUGAAAAAGACAAGACAAGAGAAAGGAAGCAUGAGAAGAGGAAGAGUGAAAUAAGGAAAUGAAGAGUGUUCAUGUUUGUUGGGUGUGAAGAAGGAUUGUGCUUGGCAUACAACUUAUUUAUACACAAAUGUGUAGUUUUCAUGUUUGGCAUAGCAUGCAAUUUCCAAGUCUUUUUGCCCAGUCAAUACUGCAUCAAAAUAAUGUUCCACCACUUUAGUUAAGUCUUUUUGGUUAACCUUUUCCAGCAAGGGAUAAUAAUAAUAAUAAUACUAAUAAUAAAUAAUUUAUAGCAUAAAUUAUUUGUUGUUAGUAUUAGAAAUAAGUUGUUAAAUUCACAUUUAAUUUGCGUUUUAAUAUAUUAUUAGAGAAUAAUAUAUUAUUGAUGUCAUUUUUUUAAUAUUUAAUUUUUAUGUUUUAUAUUAAUAAAUAUUUUUAUAAUUCGAGUUUCGAGUUGAAUUUUACAAUUUAAAUAACUCAAAUACUUCAAACAAUAAAUUGAUGUACAUGCUCCUUUGGUCCCUGUCAAUUUUAAAAAUUAACAAAUUGAUCUCUCUCAACAAAAGUUUUCAAAUAAAAUUUUAAAUAAUUUUUAAAAUCAAAAUAUUCAUAAAAAUUCUCAAAUUUAUAUUUUGUAAAAACUAUAAUAAUUUUAAAUCAUAAUGGUUUUAAUUUGAAAAUUUUAAAAUCUUUAAUUUAGGACCAGAAAAAAUUGUAGUAUGAAAUAUUAUAGGCCUUUUAAUUUAGGUAUUAAGUCUUUGGCAUUGCAUGCAAAUGUCCAAGUUUUUAUUGCACAAAAAUAAUGUUUAACCAAUGUGUACAAGUCAAGUCACCUUAUAGAUUGAUGGACACAAUAAGUGGAAAUUUUGAUGAUAGAAUAUAUAGAAUUUUUCACUUUUGAAAGAUACAUUUUUAAAUUUCAGCUUUCAAACUUUCUUAAAGCUUGAGAAAUAUUUUCAUUUCUAUAUUAUUAUUUAAUUAUUAUUUAAUUUUAAUAUUUUAAUAUUUUAUAAUAUUAAAAAUAGUUAUAAUUCGAGGUUCGAGUUGAAUUUUAUAAUUUAAAUAAUUCGAAUAAUUCAAACAACAGAUUGAUAUAUUUACUCCUUUGAUUCUUGUCAAUUUUAAAAAUUAACAAAUUAAUAUUCUCUCUCAACAAAAAUUACAAAAAUAUAUUAAAAUAUUUUUAAAGUUAAAAUAUUCAUAAAAAUUCUAAAAUUUAUAUUAUGUAAAGACUAUAAUAAUUUUUUAUUAUUUUGCUUUGAAACAGUUUUUUAAUAUUUAUGAUUUCAAAUAUUAAUUAUACUAUAAUAAGAUUUUAAUUUGACAUAUUUAUUUUUUAAUUUAAAUCAAACAAUUUUACACCCUAAAUAAUUUUGACCUGUCACCAGUAUACACACAGGUCAAAUUAAUACAAAUACAUAAGAGCUCAAAAAUAACACUAAAAAAAACAAUUGUUUGAUUUAUUAGUAGAGAAUUGGAUUUUUAAUUCUAAUGAUUAAAUAUCAAACUCAAACAACUUCAAAUAUAUAUACAUAAAGGAUGUUAUGAAACACUCAUAAAAAUCAUCAAAAAUAAAUGAGACGGGGAUAAUUUUUUGAAGGAUAAGAUGAAAUGUGUUUUAGAAUUAACAUUUUUUUUUCUUUGGCAUGCAAGCUAAUGUUCAAGUCUUUUUACCCAUUAAGGAGUACUCCUAAAUCCCAACUUAUAAAUAUGCUAUGAUCUACCAACGGGUUUAAUUAAAUCCAACACCCCAAAUUAUGGGCUCAACUCUAAAUUCAAGAUUUGGCGUUGCACGCAAAAUGUCUAAGUCUUUGCCCGAUCCUUACUAUAUGAAAACAAUGGUUUACCACUUUGUUUAAGUCAAGUCAUUAUAAACACAAAAAUAAAGCAUUUGUGUUAGCUGGUUGAGAUGGAUUGGUACAAAAUAAGUGCGAGGCUGUACGUACUAAAACCCAACAUGUGUUUGUUAAAAUAAAAACCCAAUGUGCCAGCAAAAGACGGGAGUAGCAGCAGCAGCUGUGUCUCUUUACACAAUCAGUAUAAUGUCUAUUAGAUAUGGCUUUCAUGUUUGCUGGCUGUGAAGGAGGAUUGUUUCCAUACAACUUAUUUAUACAAAAAUUAGUAAUUUCCAUACAUUAUUUUUAAUUUUGGACUCACCCCGAUCACUACUGCCUGAAAAUAAUGUUGUUCCACUAAUUUUAUUUUAGUCAAUUAAUAAAAAAAAUGGAAUUGUGGUGAUAUUUUUUUAACUGAUUGAGAUAGAUUGAUGGCUCAAAGACUAAAUUUUCUCAUAACUUUGAUGACUUUUCAAUGAACUUAAAAGUGUAUGGAAUCAAUAGAAAACUAUGGAAUGAGAUAUUAUUGGACUUAAUUAGUCUUAGCCUUUUGUCACUGCAUGCAAAUGUCUAAAUCUUUUUGACCCCAUCAAAACAAUGUUUAGCAAUUGUUUCUUAGGUAGUUGAGAUGGAUUGAUGGGCACAAGUAGUGGAAAUUUUGAUGAUACAAUGUUUAUAGUUUUCCUCUUCUUAGUAAUUUCUUUGAAAGAAACAUAUUUAAAUUUCCACAUUAAUAUUUUUUUAGAUUUAAUUGAAUUUAUCAAAGACAAAUGAGACUAACGAGAUGUCUUAUAUUAUUAACAAUUUUUUAAUUCUUUGAAAAAACUAAUUUGAAUUUCAAAUUUUUUUUUCAAUUUCAAAAUGCUACAAAUCAAACAAAUCAGGAAUAAAAAUUUAAUUUGCCAUUCUCCUCCUAUUAGGAAGGGAUAUAGAUGACGUGAAUAAAGAGAAUGGAUUGUAGGAAACUAUAAUUUCAUGUCAUCCUAACAAAUCACAUUUUGUUCUCCUAAUUUUCAACCUUUUCCUCUUGGAAAAAUUCAAAUCCAAUUAAAAAUGCUACAAAUUAGACAAAUUAGGAAUAAAAAUUUAAUUUAUUAUUCUCCACUUAUUAAAAAGGGACAGAAAUAACGUGAAAUUACAGUUUCAUAUCAUUCUUUCCCUUAAAUAAAUUCUUUUAAAUGUUUUACAAUGAUAAAAUUGUCGCUUGAAUAAAUUCUUAUAAAUGUUUUACAAUAAGAGAAUUGAUUAUUUUUAUUAAGAUCACAUAUUUAUUUCUAAUGUUUUAGAUUGUUUGCCAAUACUAAAAACCACACCACAUUAUAAAGAAUCAUUUAUUUCAUAUAUUUUAAUUUUUAUCAUAAUUUACUUUUGGCUACAUCCAAAGGGUUAAUUCCUUAAAUUAUGGACUAAAUUUUAAAUUGAUCUCUAAAUUUUUUAAAAAAAAAUUAAUUACUCAAACAAUAAAUCACAUUCUAAUUUGAAAUUUUUAAUUUUGGACUAACAAAGAAAAUAUUAGUGUGAGAUAUUGUUGGCCUUUGGCUAACAUUGGAAAGCAUACUAGAUUUUAAGACAUAAUUUAUUUCAUUAAAUUUUAAUUAUUAUUUUUAUUUUUAUCAUAUAAUUAUCUAAUUCAAUCAUAUUUUUGAAAUUAAUAAAACUAUCACUGAAACGAUAAAUAAACUAGUAUAAAAAUAAGUGUCUAGCUGAACUAAAACCCGGACCAACAUUAUAAACUAAUUAAAAUGAUUUUCUACUAUUUUAAUAAUUUGGACUAAUUAAUAACAUUAUAAAGAUGUAAUGCCUAAAUUAUGUUAAAGAUUAAAGUAUAUAUAUGUAUGUAUACAUAUUACUAUUUUUAACCAAUUCUUUUUAUAUUAUAUAUAUAUGAAUAUAUUUUUUUAAAUGCAAAUAUAUAUAUUUUUUAUAUACUUUAUAAUUUAUUUUUUCCUUUUACUUUCGUAAAUGCAUCAUGUAUGUAUAAGUUUCAUAGCCCAAAAUUUAUUUGUAAAUUAUAUGUAUAUUUUUAAUCUUCAUAAUUUUCAUGUGUGUAUUAUAUGUCUUCUGAUUUUUAUUUAUUUUGUUUGUUUUCCUCAUUCGAGGUAUAAUUGUGUUUACAUUUAAUGUUUUGCAUGUCAUGGAUCAUUAUUUUUUUAUUUCGUUUAUUUAUUUGUUUAUAUUAUUUUUAUGCCAUUAAUGUAUUUAUUAUCGUUGUAUUUAUUAUUAUAGCAUUUGUAUGUAUAAUAUAACGUUACAUCAUCUUUUACUCAAAUUUAAAAUUAGAAAAUUUCCAAGAUUGAGAUAAUGCUCGUAUUAAGGAUUUUCAAGGAAAUUGAGCCCUAACGUAUUGGGUUCCGAUUUUCUUCGUUAAAUCCAACGAUCGAGCAUUUCUCUUUAAUCAAAAAUAAUAACUCAUUAUUGGGAAUUCAACACGUUGUGUCCUAACGUAUUGGAUGUGACGCAUUGAUUUCUCGAAAUGAAGAUUUUUUAAAAAUAAUAAAGGGAAUAUUCCGAAUUUGGGAUUUUAAAGGAAUUGUGCCCUAACGUAUUGGGUGUGAUUUCUUAAAUCUUGGAUAAGUGGAUGUUCUUUUAAAGUAAAGGAAAUAUUCCGAGUUUGGGAUUCUAAAGGGAUCGUGCCCUAACGUAUUGGGUGUGAUUUUUAAAUCUUGGAUGAGUGGAUGUUCUUUUAUUCUGACCUAAUUCAUUUUGGGGAAAAUUAGAAUGUUGUGCCCCAACGUAUUGGGUGUGGCAUUUUUGCUUCUCUGAAUUGAAAAGGGUAUUAAUAUGCAACGUUUUAAGUUUUUUAAAAGAUUAUUUUAAAAUUUUCGACCUUAAGACAUUAAUUAAUUAACUAGGUACCAAUUUUUGGGCGUAAUGGGGGUGCUAAUCCUUCCUCAUACGUAACCGACUUCCAGACCCGUUUUUUUAAAAAGAAUUCGUAGACCAAAGCCGUUUUAGGUGAUCCAAUCACACCUUACUAAAAGAUUGGUGGCGACUCCGAAUUUUCUUUUUUUAAGUCGACAACCUAAAAAUUUUGUUGUUUUCAAAAAAAUGGUUUCGACAAUUAGUAUUUUUCUUAAUCAUUUUCAUAGUAUUGUGGCAUACCAAUUCUUCCCUGCAUCUGGGAAACUAGUUUAAUGCUCUGUUUCAUUGGAUAAAUUUCCCUAAAAAGUAUGUGUACAUUGUAAUAAUAGUGUGAGAUAGUGUUGGCCUUUGGCUAACAUUGGAAAACAUAUACUAGAUUUUAACACAAAAAUUCUUUCAUUAUAUUUUAAUUAUUAUUAUCAUAUUAUUACAUACAAAGUUUAAUUGAAUUGUAAUUUUUAACGUAAUAAGGCUAUCAUUGAAAGGAUAAAUAGAUUAAUAUAAAAACAAGUGUCAAGUUUCACUAAAACCCGGACCAACGGGUCCACCCUUUACACCCGGACCUAAAUUUAACUCGAAUAAUUUCAUAUGAUAAUGUUUUUUAUAUACCCUAUAAUUUUGACCGGUCAACACUAUAAACACACGUAAAAUACAAAUACAUAAGAGCUCAAAAAUAACACUAAAAAAAACAAUUGUUUGAUUUAUUAGUAGAGAAUUGGAUUUUUAAUUCUAAUGAUUAAAUAUCAAACUCAAACAACUUCAAAUAUAUAUACAUAAAGGAUGUUAUGAAAAAUAAAAUUAACAAAUGAAAAAACAUAAGGAACAUUUCAGUAGCAACUUUUUACAUAGACAUCAAAUAAAGAAACACUCUUAAUUUUACUUUUGUUUGUCUCUCUUCUUCUUUUUUUACCUUUCUUGUAUGAAACUAAAUGCAAGAAAAGUAAAGAUUAGAAUCCAAAUACGAAUUUCAAACCUGUAGGGCUGAGUAUCUAGAUUCGAGACUAUAUUUAGUUCAGGAGAUGUAUAAUCAGGGAGUCUGCCACUGAGAACUUUUUCCCAUAUCUUUGGUUUUGUGAAGGAGGAAUAUUGUGCCUGAUAAAAUUAUAAUAAAUCCACAUAAUUCUGUUGUAAUCUCUGUCCCGCCUUAUGAAUAGGAUUGUAUAUAAAUCAAGUUUAAUCCGUCAGUUUAUUUUUUUUGGCCUAUUAGUGUUCACGUUUAUGCAUAUAAACUAAAUAAAUAUGUCUACGAUGUUCAUGAAAAUAGUCAAACAUUUCCAUAAGAAAGUUAGUCAAACUCAAAAAUAAAAAUAAAAUUUGUUGAUUUACACUCCCUACCUAUAUAAGUGGAGUAAGGAUGUAUAUAGAUAAAAACCUUACCUUAAACAUGAUAAUGCUGGCAAUAAUGGUGAACGUUGUGAACAUGACAUAGUAAACAGGACAUACAACAGUAGUAUUAAAAGUGUCUAAAGCAUGCAAAAUUGUAAGCUUUUAGUAGCAUCAAGAAUAAUAACAAUAACUUAAAUUUAGAGUCAAUCAUCAUAUUAAAUCAAGAAUACAAGGUUGAAAGAAAUUAUUUAAAAAAAAACACGUUUAUGCUUUUUUAUUCUAUAAGCAAUUUAAUAAUAAGCAAAUUGAUCUCUCAACAAAAAUUACAAAAUAAUUUUUAAAAUUCAAAAUAUUUAUAAAAAUUUCAAAUUUCAAAUUUCACUUCACUCAACUCAAUUCGAAAAAAUGUCAAAUCGAGUUAGGAUGAUAAAUAUGACUCAUCAGUUCAAUUAACUCAAAAAAUUUUCACUUGAUUUGAUCAAACACUCAUAAAAAUCAUCAAAAAUAAAUGAGACAGAGAUAAUUUGUUAAAGUAUAAGAUGAAAUGUGUUUUAGAAUUAACAUUUUUUUUCUUUGGCAUGCAAGCUAAUGUUCAAGUCUUUUUACCCAUUAAUAAAUCCUAAUUUAUUAAGUAGUAUCCAACUUAUAAAUAUGUUAUGAUCUAUCAACGGGUUUAAUUAAAUCCAACACCCCAAAUUAUGGGCUCAACUCUAAAUUCAAGAUUUGACAUUGCAUGCAAAUGUCUAAGUCUUUGCCCGAUCCUUGCUAUAUGAAAACAAUGGUUUACCCCUUUGUUUAAGUCAAGUCAUUAUAAGCACAAAAUAAAGCAUUUGUUUUAGCUGGUUGAGAUGGAUUGACGGGAAUAUGGAGUGGAAAUUAUGAUGACGACACAAUUUCUGCGAAACAGAUUAGUACAAAAUAAAUGCGAGGUUGUACUAAAACCCAACAUGUGUUUGCCCGAUCAAUACUGCAUGAGAUGGAUUGAUGGGCACCACUUAUGACUUAUGGGUGGAAAUUUUGAUGAUAAAAAGUGUGGGGUUCUUCUGAAAUUUACUUUGGGUUGAUUGAAAUUGAUGAUCACAGAUUAGUUGAAAUGUCUUACAAUAUUAGCCACUUUUCAAUCCUUUACACUUUCAAAGUUUGUCCAACCAAUUGAAAUGCAACAAGCAUAUAGUUUUUUAAGUCCAAAAUUAGAUUCUUUUUAUUGGUUUACAUAAUUAAUUUUCAUUUUCUCUUCAAUUAUUUAAAUCUAUUAUCUUUCUUUUAUUUUUUCAUGAACAAAGAUAAAAUCAUAAUUGGAUUAAGUCGGGUCAGGUCAUUCUAGAGCAAUAAUCAUAUAAUUUUUGAAGAAUUUUAUCCAAUGGUUGCAUAUAGCUAUACACGCCUAGAUGCCUUGAAAAUAUCAUUGCUUCCGGUCCAUCGACUACUCAGUUACCCUAUUUGAAUACAUGUGUCACCCUAAUCAUCCAAAGACAUUGAAUAAUUUCUUUAAUAAUUCGUAACACAGCUAAAUGGUGGAACUCAACUGAUCAUCUUGAAUCAAUUAGAUUGUAGUCAUAUUAUUCAUCUCAAGGACAAUCCAUUGAAAACCUAAUCUCUAAGUCAUUUGAAAUCCCUCCAAAGCUCCGCAAAGCUCGACAUUGAGUGUAUAACAACAUAAUGUAUUUAGAGACAAAGCUCAUAGAUUUAUUUUCUAAUUAGGAAAUUAUAUGUUUUUAGUGUAGGACUAAUAAAGAAACGAUAGUAUGCAUGGGUUUUUAUCAAAUGGAGUCUUUGACUUAGUCUUGGCAUGCAUACUUGCAAAUGACUCCUAUUGCCCAGUCAUUACUUAAUUAUGUUCUACUAAUUUCCAGGCCGGUUCUUAAUAUUUUUGGGCUUCAGGCAAACAAUAAAUUAGACUUUUUUUAAAAAAAAUUAUAUAAAAUGUAAUGCAAUAACAGCUGAACAUAUUUUGCGGCUUAGGUGAUGAAAUAUUUAUGGUGAAAAAUUAAAAAUCUUAUGCAUCUAAUUAAUUUAUUUUAGUCUGAAAUUUUUUUUCUUAUAUUAAAAACUGAAAAAAAUAAAUUUUUAAGCCCCUUCCACGAUUAUACUCUCAAAUAACCCGAUUGCCGGGGUUGCUAGUUUCCUUAAAAACCACAGAAAUAUAUUAAUCAAGUGAUAGAGACGCAGUGCAAUUUCAACACAAUUUGAAAAAGAUUGAACUUUUAAACUUUCUUGGUUUAAUUGAAAUCACUAAACUAAAUGAAAAAUGAAUUAGUGGAGAUGCCUUGGACGCUUUCUAAUUUCUUUCAAAAAAACUACUUCAAAAAUAUAUCUAUUUUUUCAAACUAAAUAAGAUUAAAGAGUUUGCUGACUGGCAACGGCGCCGUCGUUCACGUUGGCCCGGAAAAAUUAAAAAUUUUCCUUUUUUCUUUCCUCUCUCUAUUGGCCUCCCGAGCUUAGAUCUACCGAUCACCGUCCAAAAAAGUAAGAAAGUUUUGAUUUUUUUUCUUUUUUUUUGUUUCUUAUAUAUAUAUAUAUAUAUAUUCAAAAUAAAUAAAUAAUGCCUACCGGCUAAAUUUGAAACAAGAAUUCUGAUGGGAGUCACCUACAUCUUCUUCUAUUUCUUUUCCCACACUUUUUGAACUUAUCAACCCAUUUGUUUCCCAACUCAUUCAGCAUUCUAUAUCCAGCUCAUUUAUUUUCCCUCAAACUUUUAUUCCCCUAAACUUUUUAUUUUUCCCCUAAACUUUUACUUCUCAUCCUUUACUCCCAAAUAAAAAAAUCAAAAUUAUCCAAAAAACCCCUUAAACAUAAAUAGUAAUACUUUUAUUUAUAUCUACUAUUUAUAUUAUUAAAUUAAAUUUCACAUUUUAUAUUAUUUAUAUUAUUGAAUUGUUUAGUCAUAUUGAAUAUUUAUAUUAAAUUUGAAUUAUUAAUGAUGCCAUAAAAUAUUCAUGUUAAAAUUUUAUAUUGGUAUCAAUUUCACAUUUUAUCUUUAAAAUAACUUUUAUUAAAAAAAAGCACAUUUUUACAUUUAAUAUUUUUUUAAUUCCAAAAUACAUAGUGACAAGAAUCUGAAGAUAAUUGAAACAACUAAGCAAGCAAAGAAGCUAACACAUAUAUAAAAGAUUAAAAUAUAAAUUAUGAGGUGAUGAAAGUUAAUAACAAAUUUGAUUAUGGUAGACAAAUUUUAUUACGGUGGGUGACAGUGGUUACAACUACUCAAAAUUAUUUUUAAAAAUUUGACUUGAAUGAAUUCCAUCACAUUUGACUUGAUUCCAGAAAAUUUCAAAUUAAAUUAAGAUGAUAAAAUAUGAUUCAUCAACUUGAUUAACUCGAAAUUUUUCCAUUCCAUUCGAUUCGAUUUCAUUCGAUCGAACACUCACCCCUAACUGCAUGAAAGUAAUGUUCAACCACUUUGUUUAAUUCAAGUCAUUAAAAUAUCAAGUAGUGGAAAUUUCUAAGUCUUUGAUAUGAAUGCAAAAUUCUAAGUCUUUAUAACUGCAUGCCAAUAAUAAUGAUGAUGAUGAUGUACCAAUUUGAUUAAGGAAGGUCAUUAAAAAAAAGAAAUAAUGGUAAUUUUUUAAUAAAAUAAUUUAUUAUUGAAUUUUUUAAGUAAAAUUUGGUAUAAGACCCAAAAAUGGUAUAAAAUUAUUCAUUGAACAUAUAUAAACAUUAUCGUUGAUAAAAAAAAUUUUAAUACUUUAUACUUAUAAAAAAAUGAUAACAUGAGAUAUUAUUGCCUUUAAUCUUAGUCGUUGGCAUUGCAUGCAGAUGCAAAUGUUAAAAGUCUUUUUGCCAUAUCAUUAAUGCAUGAAAACCUAUGUUGAACCACUUUGUUGAACUCUUAAUAUUCUUCUUAUUAAUGCCAGGUUUCAAUCUUCUUGUCGGCUCUUUAUUCUAUAUAAAUGAUUUUCUAAUUUUAAUUUUCUUAAAUUUUAAUCAUUAAAAAAAUAAAAUUAUAGCAAUAAUAAUGUCCUUUAAACCUUAUUAGAGCCAUGAUUACACGUAGAAUGAACAAAGAUAUUUUUGUUCUAACUUCACUUGAAAUAAUGGUUGAAGUUGUUGCCUACCCUAAUCAGCACCAAAAACAUGUCAUCUACCUAAUCAGUCACACCUUCUCCUAUACGCACAUUAAAACCAAUAUUAUUGAUUGUAAAGCAUUCCGUUGUCAAGAUUUAUGACCAUAGACCUAACCAUAAUACUCAAUAAAUUCGCCAACACCACCAUGACCAUGUUUCCUCAACAUUGGUGUUAGAGUCAAAACCAGAUUGGUUUCUGUUACACCGUCUCGAAAUUUCCCAGACAACAUGGACCAUAGGCUGCUGAAUUUUGAAAAUUGAAAUUUUGUAUUGAAUUUCACUUCUAAGUUUUGGUUUUACAAAAGUUUAGGAUAAUGUCAAUAAUUUUGCAUGCUUCGACCGCUACCGCCCACAAUCAGUGCUCCAUGGAUUAUAACAGGCUUUGCAUGCUUCAACCAUUACUACCUUUCUAGCCACAAUGAGAAGGCCAGCAUAUAUAAAAUUCAGCUCAAUUGAUGGCCUUUGGUCGAAAAUAGUUUAUGAUCAUACCAAUUAAAACGCAAUCAUAGGACAUAUAGUCUAUUAAAUCUAAAAUAUGGAUUUUUUUCCCUUUCUUUUUUCUUCAUGUGCUAAUUUUUAUUUCUUGUAAAUAUUUUAAAUAAGUAUUAAUUUCUAUAAAUUCGUUUAAAUGUUUCGUGAAUCAUUUGAAUAAACUACUAUAUUUAUAGUAAAAAUGAGGUUGCAAUUGCAAGAGAGGAGAUAUGUGAUCAUCAAAGCGUUGGCUUGGGAGAUGAGAUUGAGAAAGAGAGGAUGAGAAGAGAAAGAAGAAAGGAAGAAAAAGUGAAACAAGGGAAUGAAGAGUCUUCAUGUUGGUCAAACCUGGUCCAAGACCAUCCAGAAUGCCCCAUAGUUUUGAAUUAUGAGUUUUAUUGGUCUUGUUAAUCAUAUUAAUUUCAAUAUAUUCAUAGACUUAGUCUUAGCCUGUGGCAUUGCAUGCAAAUGCCUAAAUCUUUUUGCAUGAAAACAAUGUUUACCAAACCAAUUCCAAUUCUUUGAAAAAAUUAAUUCCAAUUCCAAAAGGUUUUUUUAUUUUUUUUAUUUCAAAAUUUACCAAACCAAUUGAAACCCAAUGAGAUUAAAGAAUAUAUAAUUAUUUAAAUCUAAAAUAUGAUUUUUUUAUUCGUACAAAACACGGCUAAUUUUAAAUUUUUGUGGUCUCCACAAAUGGCCAGCUACCUGCACAAGGACACUGGCAAAUAACCGCCUGCAGCAGUACAUUCCUCAGCACCAUUCCGCACAGCCAAGGCACCGCAGCUCUAUGAGGAGCACAUACUCCUCUCCAAGCUCCUGGAUCCAAUAAAAAUACAAAAGGAGGUUAGCACCGCCGCCGCCAGAUUUGCCCAUAUGUUAAGAGAAUUCAUCAAUGAAAUUCAUAAGCCCAAUAACAAGGGUGAUUCCAUUACCAUUUUUUUGUUAUUAGUAUUUUUCUUAGUAUUGUAGCAUACCAAUUCUUCCCUGCAUCUGGGAAACUAGUUUAAUCCUCUGUUUCAUUGGAUAAAUUUCCCUACAAAGUAUGUGUACAUUGUAAUGAUAAUGUGACACGUUGUUGGCCUUUACUAGACUGUAAGACAUAAUUUCUUUCAUUAUAUUUUAAUUAUUAUUAUCAUAUUACAUACAAAGUUUAAUUGUAGGGUAUUUUUUUAAAGUAAUAAAACUAUCAUUGAAAGAAUAAAUUGACUAAUCCCAAUACCAAUUUAGAAUAGGAUUAUUGUAUUUAAAGCAGAAGUUCACAGUUGAGUAAACUAAAUCCUAAGAUGAUAAGAUCCAACCAUCCGCGUAUGAUAUAAACUACAUGUAAGAGAACGUCGAGUGCAACAUAUCAGUUUUGGGAUUAACCUUUUCACCAUAUGCUUCUCCUUUUCUCAACUUUAUGCUGCCAAUCUGUGCUUUCUUCUCAGAUUGUUGGCCUGAAAAUUAGAAUAUGAAGCUUCUCAUUUCACUUGCAAUUAUCAUGUUUUUCAUAUGCAUAACAUGGCUAAUUUUUAUUUCUUGUAAAUAAAUAUUUCAUUUCCGUAAAUUCGUUUAAAUGUUUCAUAAUGGGAGAAUCAUUUGAAAAAGCUACCAUAUUUAUAGUGUUUUACAUUGUUUGUCAAUUCCAGAAAACGGACCAUAUUUUAAGAUAUCUAAUUUUUCAUUAUAUUUUACUUACUUAUUUUUAAAGUAAUAAAACUAUUAUUAAAAAAUAAAUAAAUUAUUUGUACAAAAUAAAUGUCAGAUUGCACUAAAACCCGGACCAAUAGAUUUACCCAUUACACCCGAGCCUAAAGCCCAACAUGUGUUUGAUAAUAUAAAACAAAGAAGACAAAACUUAUCAUACUUUGCGUGGUUUUCUACUUGAAAUGAUUCAUUGCCACCAAUUACAUGCAAUGACUUAAUGCUUAGAAGGACAGAGGUCAUUUCCCUGUGACAAAAUAAGAAACACAAGUCAAACCACCAAGAAUAUAACUUCUCAUAAGCAUGCAAAUAUAGGAAUAUUACAUAGGAAAAACAAAAUCACUGUGUCACCACUCCUGCUGCUUAAAUUAAGGAAUUGCAAUGUUGUAUGAUCCAAAAUUAGUUUGCAACAUCAAUCUUUUCAAAAUAUAAAGACUAUAGCUUCAAAAGGAUAUGUUUACCUGUUGACUUUAAUACAUGAAUUCCGACACAGUCACCAAGAUUUUCUUCUGUUUCUUUUCCCAUAUUUUUUGAACUUGUCAACCCAUUUGUUUCCCAACUCAUUCUGUUGUUCCAAUAGGGUCGGAAGCGUGUAAAUUAUUGUACUAAAAAAUCACACAAAGUUCAAUUCCCAGGGAAGAGAGGUGGAUCACAUGGAUCUCUUAAAUACCAAGUCUUUCCUUAGUCAGAAUAUCCCUUCUAUAGUAAUUUAAUAGCACAAUUAAAUACUACUAUUAUACCCUAAAAUAUUGAAAGAAAAAUAGGACAAGAAAGAACACAAGAGUUUUAACGAGGUUCGGUAAAUUAUACCUACGUCCUCGGGCACUAACACUAGAUGAUAACUUUACUAUCUCCAAAAUAUUACAAACAAAUAGAAUUCCUUAAGAAUUCUCAAAUGGGAGAAGAGAGAAAACUAAGAGAGAAAGAUUGGUUGGGAUGGUUGAAAUGAGAAAUGGUUAGGCCUAUUUGAGGUUCAGGGACUAACUUGCAAAUGGCCUAAAAAAUUAGGGACCAAAAUUGCAAUUAUCCCAUUCAACUUUAAACAACUUGCCUAUCACUUUUUUCUUUCGGUGCCACUUGCACCUCCCAUUUUUGACUUUUCAACAAUCUCCACCUUGAAGAUUUGAUUAGGAUAAUCACAUCUUCACACACUUCCUUCAACUCCCCAAAUUAGAUAAAGCUAUCUUUUGUAGCGCCUCCAAAUGCGCUCUCGAGCGCCAUACACCUAAAGGUGCUCAAAUUCUCAGGAUGUUAAUCAAGUUCAAACAAUGAUUAAACUUGAUUGUUGUUACCACCUUGGUCAUCAUAUCUGCGGGAUUAUCUGCUGUCGGAAUCUUCUGAAGUAGAAUUUUUCCUUUUUCAAAGACUUCCCGCACAAAGUGAUAUCAAACAAUUUUACACCAUAAAUAAUUUUGACCUGUCACCAGUAUACACACAGGUCAAAUUAAUACAAAUACAUAAGAGCUCAAAAAUAACACUAAAAACAAACAAUUGUUGGAUUUAUUAGUAGAGAAUUGGAUUUUUAAUUCUAAUGAUUAAAUAUCAAACUCAAACAACUUCAAAUAUAUAUACAUAAAGGAUGUUAUGAAACACUCAUAAAAAUCAUCAAAAAUAAAUGAGACGGAGAUAAUUUACUGAAGGAUAAGAUGAAAUGGGUUUUAGAAUUAACAUUUAUUUUUCUUUGGCAUGCAACCUAAUGUUCAAGUCUUUUUACCCAUUAAUGAGUACUGCUAAAUCCCAACUUAUAAAUAUGUUAUGAUCUACCAACGGAUUUAAUUAAAUCCAACACCCCAAAUUAUGGGCUCAACUCUAAAUUCAAGAUUUGGCGUUGCAUGCGAAAUGUUAAGUCUUUUCCCGAUCCUUACUAUAUGAAAACAAUGGUUUACCACUUUGUUUAAGUCAAGUCAUUAUAAACACAAAAAUAAAGCAUUUGUGUUAGCUGGUUGAGAUAGAUUGAUGGGAAUAUGGAGUGAAAAUUAUGAUGACCACACAAUUUCAUGUUUAAUGUCCAUCAGAUAUGGCUUUCAUGUUUGCUGGCUGUGAAGGAGGAUUGUUUCUAUACAACUUAUUUAUACACAAAUUAGUACUUUCCAUACAUUAUUUUUAAAUUUGGACUAAGCCCGAUCACUACUGCAUCAAAAUAAUGUUGUACCACUAAUUUUAUUUUAGUCAAUUAAUAAAAAAAAUGGAAUAGUGGUGAUUUUUUUUAACUGAUUGAGAUAGAUUGAUGGCUCAAAGAUUAAAUUUUCUCAUAACUUUGAUGACUUUUCAAUGAACUUAAAGUGUACGGAAUCAAUAGAAAAUUAUGGAAUGAGAUAUUAUUGGACUUAGUCUUAGCCUUUUGGCACUGCAUGCAAAUGUCUAAAUCUUUUCUACCCCAUCAAAACAAUGUUUAGCAAUUGUUUCUUAGGUAGUUGAGAUGGAUUGAUGGGCACAAGUUGUGGAAAUUUUGAUGAUAAUGUUUAUAGUUUCCUCUUCUUAGUAAUUUCUUUGAAAGAAACAUAUUUAAAUUUUCACAUUAAUAUUUUUUUAGAUUUAAUUGAAUUUAUCAAAGACAAAUUAAUGAGACUAACGAGAUGUCUUAUAUUAUUAACAAUUUUUUAAUUCUUUGAAAAACUAAUUUGAAUUUCAAAAGUUUUUUUUUUCAAUUUCAAAAUGCUACAAAUCAAACAAAUCAGGAAUAAAAAUUUAAUUUCCAUCCUCCUCCUAUUAGGAAGGGAUAGAGAUAACGUGAAUAAAGAGAAUGGAUUGUAUGAAACUAUAAUUUCAUGUCAUCCUAACAAAUCACAUUUUUUUCUCCUAAUUUUCAACUUUUUCCUCUUGGAAAAAUUCAAAUCCAAUUAAAAAUGCUACAAAUCAGACAAAUUAGGAAUAAAAAUCUAAUUUGUCAUUCUCCACUUAUUAAAAAGAGACAAAAAUAACGUGAAAUUACAGUUUUAUAUCAUUCUUUCCCUUAAAUAAAUUCUUUUAAAUGUUUUACAAUGAUAAAAUUGUCCCUUGAAUAAACUCUUAUAAAUGUUUUACAAUAAGAGAAUUGAUUAUUUUUAUUAAUAUCACAUAUUUAUUUCUAAUGUUUUAGAUUGUUUGCCAAUACUAAAAACCACACCACACUAUAAAGAAUCAUUAUUUUCAUAUAUUUUAAUUUUUAUCAUAAUUUACUUUUGUCUACAUCCAAAGGGUUAAUUCCUUAAAUUAUGGACUAAAUUUUAAAUUGAUCUCUAUAUUUUAAAAAAUAAUUAAUUAAGUCCUCAAACAAUAAAUCACAUUCUAAUUUGAAAUUUUUAAUUUUGGACUAACAAAGAAAAUAUUAGUGUGAGAUAUUGUUGGCCUUUGGCUAACAUUGGAAAGCAUACUAGAUUUUAAGACAUAAUUUAUUUCAUUAAAUUUUAAUUAUUAUUUUUAUUUUUAUCAUAUAAUUAUCUAAUUCAAUCAUAUUUUUGAAAUUAAUAAAACUAUCACUGAAACAAUAAAUAAACUAGUAUAAAAAUAAGUGUCUAGCUGAACUAAAACCCGGACCAACAUGUCUAUCCUUUACACCCGAUCCUAAACCCCAACACGUGAUUGAUAAAAUAUAAAGCUAAUGUCUCUUUGGAAGAGCAAAGGGUGGGAGUAGCAGCAUCUGCGUCUCUUUACACAAUCGGUCCAAUGUCCAUCAAAAAAAGCUUUCAUCAGCAUCAAGCCAUCAAAUCUCCUCAGCUGUUAGGCUCAUUAUUAGGAUCACUGCCUAGAUUAUUCAUGUACCUCAAUGGUAACAUAAAAUUACAAGUACGGUAUGAUAGUGAACUUGGUAAAUAUAUAUAUAUAUAUAAAUCAACAACUAUCUGUUCAAAUUAGAAUGACAAAUGCUUACCAGCUACUUUUGAAGCAAGAAUUCUGAUGGAGUCACCUACAUCUUCUUCUAUUUCUUUUUCCACACUUUUUGAACUUGUCAACCCAUUUGUUUCCCAACUCAUUUAGCACUGUAUAUCCAAUACAUAGCCCAACGACUAAUCCACUAGCAUAACCUAUCAACGCAAUUUUCCAAGUAGACAGAGCAUAAAACCAUGAAUCUCCAUCUUCCCCUGGAGGUGGUGGCAUUGGAAGACCAACUUCAUUGCAUUUCUUGGACAAUGGUGGACCGCAUAAUUUUGGAUUCCCACGGUGAGAAUCAUUUGAAAAUGUACUGAAUUGGUUGCCUUGCGGUAUGCUCCCUUCAAGUGGGUUGUAAGACAAAUUCAAUGCCUCUAGGAAAGUUAGAGUUGUAAGCUGUGGAGGAAUCUUCCCUGAAAGUUUGUUUUGUGAGAGAUCCAAAGAUUCGAGGUCUUUUAGAUUGAAGUGCUAAUGGGAUUUCACCAGAGAAGCCAUUGUUGGAUAAGUUCAUCACUCUGAGUGACCUCAGCAUUUGUAUCUCUUCUGGUAUUCUCCCAUGGAAACUAUUGUUGGAAAGGUCAAGACAAGUAAGAACAGUUAAGAUUUUUGGUAAAAUAGUUCAACCCCCCUGUUAACAAUUGUCACAGAGUCUUUAUAAUAGACGUCCCCAAUGUAAACCCGCUUAGCCUUUUCAUCAUUAGUCAUCUUCGCCAUUGCCUUCAAACUCUGCAAAAAUUCAAUGGACAAGUCACCUGAAAAAUUGUUGGAAGCAAUGUCCAAUAUGCGUAGCUUUGGAAACCCACAUUCCGUGUCGAUUUUUGAAAUUGUGCCGUAGAAUCUGUUUGCUCGCAAAACGAGAACCUUCAAGGAAGGUAGCUUCUCUAACCAAAAUGGGAAUGUAUCAUGAACCAUAUUAUUUCCCAGGUCCAGAACCUCAAGUGCUGUGCAAUUGGCUAAUGAUCUCGACAGCUCCCCGUCCAAUUUAUUCCCAGCUAUUUUGAGUAACCCUAGUCGAGUGGGUUGAAGGAAAUCAAUGGAUAGUUCACCAGAAAACUGGUUUGAAGCAAUGUCCAAUACAUCCAAAGUUGGGAAAACAGAUUUAUGUUUGAAAUGUUUAAUUUGACCAUAAAAUCUAUUUUCCCGCAAUAUUAGAACCGUCAAGUAAGGCAAUUUCUCCAACCAAAAAGGGAAUGUAUCAUUCAUCUUGUUGUUUCCCACGUCCAAAACUUCAAGCUGAGUGCAUUCAGCUAAUGAUCUGGGCAACUUCCCUUCCAGUCUAUUCUCACUAAUUUUGAGAAUUUGUAGUUUGGUUGCUUUUGAAAAUUUUGGUAACAUUCCACUGAAGUUAUUUCCUUGCAGAUUCAAGAAAUAGCAUUCAUUUUGCCUAAGCAAUUUGGAAUUGGGCCACUCAAAUUGUUACAAGAUAGACCGAAACUGCCAAAUUGACUCAUAUUGCCCAAGCAAUUUGGAAUUGACCCACUCAAAUUGUUAGAAGAUGCAUAAAAACUGCCAAGUUGACUCAUAUUGCAUAACCAAUUUGGAAUUGGGCCACUCAAAUUGUUAUAAGAUGCGUCGAAAUAGAAAAAGCCUCGUGAAAAAGUUGAAAGGUCCAAAGAUGAGAGAUGGUUAUUAGCAAGAGACAGAUACCGCAAACUUUUUUUCCACACCCUGUUUGGUAUUGCACCACUUAUUUUAUUAUUUGAAAGGUCCAGAAAUUAUUUUUGACUCUUUAAGAACUCCGGAAACGCACUUAUGUUACAGGAUCCCAGAUACAAUCGCCUCAACAUUGGGAAAGAGAAGUUUGCAUCACUUAAGGGAAGUUGUUUUGGAAAAUCAAUCAUAUUGAAAGAAAGGUACACCUGUGAAAGAGUGCUCUUCCACAACCAAUUAGGCACAAUACCAUGGAUAUGGUUGUUAGAAAGUUCCAGAGAAAUCAACUUGUCUUUUGUUUUGAUGAAUUCUGGGAAUUCAGUAAGGUUGCAUGAACUUAGCCUUAGGCUUUCUAAUAGGGGAAAAGUAAGACUUAUGUUGUCACUUUCAAUUAAGAAGCUUAUAUUGUUUAGCGAGAGAGUCCUUAAGUUCUUGAGUUGGACACACAUGUCAAGCUUCAUGGAACUGAAGCUAUUACCUUCGAUAUAAAGCCAUUCAAGCCGUGGAAGUUGAAGGAUUGACUUUGGGAUUGGUCCUGUUAAAUAAUUAUUGCCUAUAUAUAGUACUUCAAUCAAAGAAGAAGAUGCAUUGGGGAACUCAUUAAUUUUCCCAACCAAUUGAUUGUCUCCAUGAUGCAGGAUCUUCAACGAUGGAAGAGUGAAUAAAGAAGAAUGUAUUGAUCCAAAAAGCUUGAUCCCAUCCAAAUUGUGAUUUACAAGAUUAGGAACUCCAAAUCUAUGAAACAAAGGGGUUAAACCACUGAAAUUAUUAUAUCUUAGAUUCAAGUUCACGAGGUGACUAAGAUUUGCAAUUGACGAUGGAAUGGGUCCAAAAAAGUUGCAAGAAGAAAGAUGUAAAUUUGUCAGGAACUUAACAUUACCAACCAAUUCAAGUAGUUUUCCACUGAAAUUUGUAAAAGAAAGCGACAAACUCUGUAAAGCAUUGUUUGCUGGAAAUUCUGGCAACUGACCCAUAAGUUGGCCAUUGCCUGAAAUGUCAAUGCUUUGAAUUUUUGGCAAUAAGAGAAUUCCGGUUGGAAAAUGCCCACGCAAAUUACAGUACCUCAAACUGAGAGAAACCAAACGAGAGGAAGUUUCCAAGAAAUUGGGAGGUAAAUAAGAGAUUGGGUUCCCACCAAGGAUAAGUUUGGAAAGAAAAGAGAGUCUUGAGAGAGAAGAACAUAAUGGACCUUUCAAACCACAGCUUGACAGACUCAACACAUGCAGGUUUGGAAGUACAAGAGAUGUGGUUUCACACCAUUUAGCACUUUGAGUUGAAAUGUCCACACUAUCCAAAUAAAGCGCUGUGAGAAACCUCAAAUUCUUGAUUAAUGUCUUGAAGUUUGGAUUCUCUAAUUUAAGAGGCUGUUGAGGUUUGUAAUAGUUGUAGAAGGCAGGGUACAGAACUUUGUAAUAUCUCAAAUAACAAGAAUCUUGAUUGGAUAGAUCAAGAGAGACUAACCUAUUUAAGAAUGAGAUCUCCACUGGAAUUUGGCCAUGGAAACAUGAGCUUGAAAGGUUGAGAUGAGUUAGAUUUUGGAGUUUAUCAAACCCAUAGGAAAACAGAGUGGUAUUAAAGUUGUUUCCAGCAAGAUUCAGGUGUUGAAGAUGAUGGAGAUCGAAUAUGGAGUGGAAGCUGCCUGAAAGGUUUUUGUAACUAAGAUCAAUGCCAACGACAUGACCAUAAGCAUCACAAGUGACUCCUUCCCAAGAACAACAAUCAGUGUUGACAUCCCAGAGGUCAAAAUUGGAAGAGAAAGUAAAAUUAGGGGCACAGUAAAGAUGACGCUGCAAUUGCAGCAGAGGAGCUCUCUGGUCAUCAAGGCAUUGCUGAGGGAGAUGAGUUUGAGGAGGUGAAAAAGACAAGACAAGAGAAAGGAAGCAUGAGAAGAGGAAGGGUGAAAUAAGGAAAUGAAGAGUGUUCAUGUUGGUUGGGUGUGAAGAAGGAUUGUGCUUGGCAUACAACUUAUUUAUACACAAAUGUGUAGUUUUCAUGUUUGGCAUAUAACUUAUUUAUUAUUAGUAUUAUUAUUAUUAUCCCAUGCUUGCAAAGGUUGACCAAAAAGACUUAACUAAAGUGGUGGAACAUUAUUUUGAUGCAGUAUUGAUUGGGCAAAAAGACUUCGAAAUUGCAUGCUAUGCCAAACAUGAAAACUACACAUUUGUGUAUAAAUAUUAGACAUAUUAGAGGGAUUGAAACUGAAAUUUAACAUUUUAUUGUAAAUUUUUUUUUUAAAAAAAAGAUAAAGGAAAGGAAAGGAAAUAAAUUAUAGAUUAAAUCUCAAAUUUAGGCAUAUUAAAGAAACUAAAUUUUAAAUUUUUUUGUAAAAUGUAAAAUUAAAAAAGAAAAGGAAAAAUGAUUGGGUAUGCGACAUGUAAAAAGAAAGAAGGUCGAAACCAAUUUUUAUAUAUAAGUAUAUAGAUUAUAUAUAAUUAUUCUUACAUAAUUUAAUUUUUUUAAUAAAAAUUACUAUUAAAAUCUUUUAAUUAAAUUUUGGUAUAACACCCAAAAGAAUUAAUUUAUAUACCAAACUAAUUUAUAAAUGAGUACUUUUAAGUCCUAAUUUAUGAAACAGUACCAAACUUAUAAAUAUGCUAUGACCUAUUGAAGGGUUUAAUUAAAUUUAACACCCCAAAUUAUAAGUUGCAUCAUUCUAAAUUUAUCUCUAAACUUCAAAAACUUUUAACUAAAUAAUAGUAAAAUAUAUUGUUGGUCUUAGUCUUAGUUUUAAUAUUUGGGAUUGCAAGCGAAUUUCUAAGUCUUAGUAUAAGAAUAGAAUGUUAUUAACCUUAGUCAUGAAAAUAAUGUUUCUACCACUUUUCUUAACUGAUUGAGAGACAUUGAUGGGUCAAAGACUAAAUUUUGUUGGUGACUUCUCAAUGAACUUGUCCAAGUGUAUCAAAUCAAUAGAAACACAAUGAAACUAAAUAAUGGUUUGGUUUGAGGAAAAUAUAAGCUAUUCUUAGUCUUUGCUUUCAUUUGCACAAUGUUUGGCACUUUUCUUAUCAUAUUUGAACUUCACUCCAUAUGUUUGCUUUCAAUUUAAAACCAUAUUUAUUAUGUGGAUUAAAUCAUAGUAUUGUUAUUCAAAUUUAAAAUAAAGAAAUUAUUUCUCAAGGUAUCUAGUUGGUAAGUAAAUAUUUGCAUUUUGUUAGCCCAUUUACAGAGUAGAUGCCAUAGUUUUAAAAGUUGCUUCACAAUUAAGCCGAGGAUCGAAUCCUCGACCACGGAUUAAGGUAAGAAAGACUCUUACCAUCUCAUCUAACUCUAGUUAUUAAAAUUAAAAUUAAUUUGAAUACCAUAAAUUCAAAUAUUAAUAUUUACAUCUAUUCCAAAUUCAUUAUACAUAAUAAUUAAAAUAUUCAAAUCUAAAUAUUAUCAAAAUUCGUACUCUGGUGAUUAAAAUAUUUGUAUCCUAUUAGUCAUAUUAAUUAUGAUAUUUUCGUCAUUUUGCUUCAUCUUUAUUCUAUUAUGAUAUUUUCAUACUAUUAAUCAUAUUUGAUGUUCGCGAUUUAUUGAUAUAAAAUUUUUAGACAUUAAAUGAUGUUAUUAUUCUAAAUAUAUGCAAGCUCGACUUUGAAGUCCAACCUAUUUUAAACAUCUUUCCUUGUUGAUUGUGGAGAAUGGACCGUGAUUGCAUUGAAAAUACCAUUGAAGAAUAAUAAUUAAAAUAAUCAUAUUUUAUACUAUAAAAUAUUUAUUAUUGAAUAUUUAUAAAUUAUAUAUAUUUUUCUCAUUAAAAUAUCAAUAUAAAUAUUUUUUAAUUAUAUAUUAAGAAUAUUAUUUAAAAUUAAAUUAAAUUAUUAAAAUUUAUUAAUAAAAUAAAAUUAUAAUAUUAAAAUUAAAAAUAUAUUAUUAAUAUAAUUAUAUUAAACUUGAUUCAAAUUAAUUUUGUAUAUAAAGAUAAAAAUAUUCAUAAAUAAGCUUUGUUCGAUAAAUUAAUUACGUUUUCCAAAAAGUCAAAUUAAUUUACAGAAAAAUGAUAUUAUUUAAAUUUCCAUACUAAAAUACUUUUAAAUUUAAUUAAAAUUAUCAAAGACGAAUGAAAUUCAUGAAAUUAAUUUAACAACUUUUCAAUUUUUCGAAAAAAUCAAUUUGAUUCUUCUUCUUUUUUCAAAAUUUAUCAAGCCAAUUGAAACACAAAAAAAUUUAAUAUUUUUAAUUUUUGACUGACAAAAAAAAUGAUACUAUGAGAUAUUUUUUAUAUUAUUAGACCUAAUCUUAAUCUUUGGCAUUCCAUGCAAAUGUCUAAAUCUUUUUGCCCCUUUACUACGGCAUUAAAACAAUGUUUAGCAAAUUUCUUAGGGAGAUGGAUUGAUGGAUAUAAGUAGUGGAAAUUUUGAUGAUACAAUUCUUCUCUUCUUAACAAUUUCUUUCAAAGAAACAUAUUUAAAUUUCCACACCGAAACUUCUUUAAUUUAAAGGAAUAAAUCUUAAAAUUAUAAACUAUGUGUUAAUGUGUAAUUGUAUACAUGAAUUUUGAUUUUAUGCAAUGUUAUACAUGAAAUUUUGAUUUGAUUCAAUUCUUGUAAUUUAUUAACACAAUUAUUGAUAUAACAACAUUUUAUGUCUAUAUAUUGUAUACAUAAAUAAUUAUAUUUAUCUAAUAUAAAAAUAAAUUGAUGUUUUUAUUUCAUUAAAUGUGUAUGAUUAAAUCAAAAUUAAAAUUUGAAUUAUACAUUUGAACCACAAUUAGAGUUCCACGUGUAUGAUUACACCAAACUAAAGUUCAUAUAUAUAAUUGCACAUUAAAUUAAAGUUUAUAUAUAAUUUUAAGUUUUAUCCCUAUUUGAAAUUAUCAAAGACAAAUGAGAUUAACGAGAUGUAUUAUAUUAUAAACAAAGUUCGAUUCUUUGAAAAAGUUAAGCUCCAAUUUCAGAAGUUUUUUUUUCCAAAGUUUAUCAAACGAAUUCAAACACUAUGAGAUUAAACAACAUAUAAUUUUUUAAAUCUAAAAUAUGGAUUUUUUUUCUUUUUUAAAUCUAAAGUCAGUUCCAAUUUUCUAGUGUUUUAGAUUGUUUACUAACACUAAAAAGCACACCACAUUGUAAGGCAUCAUUUCUUUCAUUGUAUUUUUUUUUUUUACGUAGACACCAAAAUUUCAUCGGGAUACAAAUCAGCACUUUGUGGUAAACUCAAUUUAACUCAAUUUUAAUUGUAGCAAAGCUUUUAACCGGGGGCUCUUUUUCCACCAUUUUUCUUCUAACACUUUCGGCUCCCAGCACUCUGGAGGCAUCCUCCAUCACUGAACAUUCUUCACUCACCUUCAUCAUUGCCACCACCAACCACAUCAGCAUCAGAAUCAACAUAAUCAUCUUCAUCUCAGUCACCUCUCUCACCUCUAACCCAUACCAACAUUUUUAGGGUACAAAAUUGUGCUCCAAGACACAAGCAUAGUGACACCUGAGAAUCAUCCAAUUCAUCUUCAUGUAUACGAUUUCUAUAUCAUUGCACAACGUUUAAAGAACUUCGAUCCUAAAAGGGAUACUUCUAAAUUCAACCUUGUUGAUCCACCUGUGAGGAACACCGUUGGAGUGCCUGUGAAUGGAUGGGCAACCAUCAGAUUCGUCGCUGAUAAUCCAGGUAAACACCCUUCUUCAUCAUUUCAAUUACUGUGAUUCCAUUACCAAUUUUUUACUUGUUAUUAGUAUUUUUCUUAAUCAUUUUCAUAGUAUUGUGGCAUACCAAUUCUUCCCUGCAUCUGGGAAACUAGUUUAAUGCUCUGUUUCAUUGGAUAAAUUUCCCUAAAAAGUAUGUGUACAUUGUAAUAAUAGUGUGAGAUAGUGUCGGCCUUUGGCUAACAUUGGAAAACAUACUAGAUUGUAACACAAAAAUUCUUUCAUUAUAUUUUAAUUAUUAUUAUCAUAUUAUUACAUACAAAGUUUAAUUGAAUGGUAAUUUUUAACGUAAUAAUAUUAUCAUUGAAAGGAUAAAUAGACUAAUAUAAAAACAAGUGUCAAGCUGCACUAAAACCCGGACCAACGGGUCCACCCUUUACACCCAGACCUAAAGCAUAAGACGUGAUUGAAAAAUGCUUGUAGUCAUAAGAAACUAAUUACCAUUUUCUUCAAAGAUAACGUACCUCCUGACUGGAUAUUCCAUGUCCUGUGCAUUGCUAAAUGAUACAUAAAAUUACAAUAGAAUCUGGAAAAUGAAUGUCAAUGCUACGAGUAGGAUAUGAUAGAGAAAUUUACUUUUCAACAACUAUAUAUAUCAACUACCUUUUCAAAUUAGAAAGACUAAUGCUUAAUUAGACUAAUGCUUAAUUACCAGCUAAUUUUGAAACAAGAAUUCUGAUGGAGUCACCUACACCUUACCUUAAACAUGAUAAUGCUGGCAAUUAUGGUGAACGUUGUGAACAUGACAUAGUAAACAGGACAUACAACAGUAGUAUGAAAAGUGUCUAAAGCAUGCAAAAUUGUAAGCUUUUAGUAGCAUCAAGAAUAAUAACAACUUAAAUUUAGAGUCAAUCAUCAUAUUAAAUCAAGAAUAUAAGUUGAAAGAAAUUAUUUUUUUAAAAAACACAUUUAUGCUUUUUUAUCCUAUAAGCAAUUUAAUAAUGAACAAAUUGAUCUCUCAACAAAAAUUACAAAAUAUUUCAAAAUAGUUUUUAAAAUUCAAAAUAUUUAUAAAAAAAUUAAAUUAUAUUUAUUUUUUCAAUUGUAAGAAUAUUUUUAUUAUUUUGUUUUGAAAAAGUUUUCAAAUGUAUAUAGUUUUAAAUUUAUGUGCUCUAACAUUGAAUUAGUUAUCCUAUAACAAGAUUUUAAUUUGACAUAUUUAAUUUUUUAAUUGAACUUGAAUAAUUUCACUCGAUUCAAUUUGACUCGAAUUUUAUUUCACUCGACUCAAUUCGAAAAAAUGUCAAAUCAAGUUAGGAUGAUAAAUAGGACUCAUUAGUUCAAUUAACUCAAAAAAUUUUCACUUGAUUCGAUUAAACACUCAUAAAAAUCAUCAAAAAUAAAUGAGACGGAGAUAAUUUGCUGAAGGAUAAGAUGAAAUGUGUUUUAGAAAUUAACAUUUUUUUUCUUUGGCAUGCAAGCUAAUGUUCAAGUCUUUUUACCCAAUAAUGAGUACUCCUAAAUCCAACUUAUAAAUAUGUUAUGAUCUACCAACGGGCUUAAUUAAAUCCAACACCCCAAAUUAUGGGCUCAACUCUAAAUUCAAGAUUUGGCAUUGCAUGCAAAUGUCUAAGUCUUUGCCCGAUCCUUACUAGAUGAAAACAAUGGUUUACCACUUUGUUUAAGUCAAGUCAUUAUAAACACAAAAAUAAAGCAUUUGUGUUAGCUGGUUGAGAUGGAUUGAUGAGUGAAAAUUAUGAUGACCACACAAUUUCUGCGAAACUUCGAUUGGUACAAAAUAAGUGCGAGGCUGUACCAAAACCCAACAUGUGUUUGAUAAAAUAAAAACCCAAUGUGUCAGCAAAAGGUGGGAGUAGCAGCAGCAGCUGUCUCUUUACACAAUCAGUACAAUGUCCAUCAGAUAUGGCUUUCAUGUUUGCUGGCUGUGAAGGAGGAUUGUUUCCAUACAACUUAUUUAUACACAAAUUAGUUCUUUCCAUACAUUAUUUUGAAUUUUGGACUAAGCCCGAUCACUACUGCAUCAAUGUUGUACCACUAACUUUAUUUUGGUCAAUUAAUAAAAAAAAAUGGAAUUGUGGUGAUUUUUUUUAGCUGAUUGAGAUAAAAUGAUGGCUCAAAGACUAAAUUUUCUCAUAACUUUGAUGACUUUUCAAUGAACUUAAAGUGUAUGGAAUCAAUAGAAAUUUAUGGAAUGAGAUAUUAUUGGACUUAGUCUUAGCCUUUUGGCACUGUAUGCAAAUGUCUAAAUCUUUUUUACCCCAUCAAAACAAUGUUUAGCAAGUUUCUUAUGUAGUUGAGAUGGAUUGAUGGGCACAAGUAGCGGAAAUUUUGAUGAUAAAAUGUUUACAAUUUUCCUCUUCUUAGCAAUUUCUUUGAAAGAAACAUAUUUAAAUUUUCACAAUAAAAUUUCUUUAGAUUUAAUUGAAAUUAUCAAAGAAAAAUGAGAUUGACAAGAUAUCUUAUAUUAUUAACAAUUUUUCGAUUCUUUCAAAAAAUUAAUUUCAAUUUCAAAAGUUUUUUGAAAUUAAUAGAACUAUCAUUGAAAGGAUAAACAAACUAGUAUAAAAAUAAGUGUCCGGCUGAACUAAAACUCAGACCAACAGGUCCACCCUUUACACCCGGUCCUAAAGCCCAACACGUGAUUGAUAAAAUAUAAAGCUAAUAUCUGUUUGGAAGAGCAAAGGAUGAGAGUAGCAGCAUCUGCGUCUCUUUACACAAUCCGUCCAAUGUCCAUCAGAUAUGGCUUCCAUCAACAUCAUGCCAUUAAAUCUCCUCAGCUGUACAAAUAUUCUGAAGAUAAAAUAAUUGAAGUAAAAGUAAAUUGCAUAUAAAAGAAAGCUUGGGCAGCCAUUUCCUUGUUUAUAAUAUCAUUAUUAGCAUGGAAAUUCAGUAGCAGUGAAACAUUGCAUCCCCCAAAUCCACAGGGACCUGGAUGCAAAAUGAAUAAACACUAAUAUAUACUCAUGGAAAACUACAAAAGGAAAAAAGUGCAUAUAAAGCAAAAUUACAAACCAGUGGAUUGAUCUUGUUAGGAUCAUUGCCUACAUUCUUCAUGAACCUCACAACUGUACAUUCCAUGUCCUGCUUCAAGUACCUCCUGCAUUGCUCAAUGGUAACAUCAAAUUACAAGUACGAUAUAAUAGUGAACUUGGUAAAGACAGCAAAAAAUGAGGUUAUAUAUAUAUAUAUAUAUAUCAACUAUCUGUUCAAAUUAGAAAGACAAAUGCUUACCAGCUAAUUUUGAAGAAAGAAUUCUGAUGGAGUCACCUAUAUCUUCUGCUAUUUCUUUUCCCACACUUUUUGAACUUGUCCACCCAUUUGUUUCCCAACUCAUUCAGCACUGUAUAUCCAAUACAUAGCCCAACGACUAAUCCACUAGCAUAACCUAUCAACGCAAUUUUCCAAGUAGACAGAGCAUAUAACCAUGAAUCUUCAUCUUCCCCUGGAGGUGGUGGCAUUGGAAGACCAACUUCAUUGCAUUUUCUUGACAAUGGCAGCCCACACAAUUUUGGGUUCCCACGGUAGGAAUCAUUUGUAAAUGUAAUGAAUUGGUUGCUUUGUGGUAUGCUCCCUUCAAGUUGGUUGUAUGACAAGUUCAAUGCUUCCAGGAAAGUUAGACUUGUAAGUUGUGGAGGAAUCUUCCCUGACAGCUUGUUUCUUGAGAGAUCCAAAGAUUCGAGGUCUUUUAGAUUUUGAAGUGCUAAUGGGAUUUCACUAGAGAAGCUAUUGUUGGAUAAGUUCAUCACUCUGAGUGACCUCAGCAUUUGUAUUUCUUCUGGUAUUCUCCCAUGGAAACUAUUGUUGGAAAGGUCAAGACAAGUAAGAAUUGCCAAGACUUUUUGGUAGAACAUUUCAAUCCCUUUGUUAACAAUUGUCACAGAGUCUUGAUAAUAAUUCUCUCCGAUAUAAUUCAGCUUAGCCUUUUCGUCAUUAGUCAUCUUCGCCAUUGCCUUCAAACUCUGCAAAAAUUCAAUGGACAAGUCACCUGAAAAAUUGUUGGAAGCAAUGUCCAAUAUACGUAGCUUUGGAAACCCACAUUCCGUGUCGAUUUUUGAAAUUGUACCGUAGAAUCUGUUUGCUCGCAAAACGAGAACCUUCAAGGAAGGUAGCUUCUCUAGCCAAAAUGGGAAUGUAUCAUGAACCAUAUUAUUUCCGAGGUCCAGAACCUCAAGUGCUGUGCAAUUGGCUAAUGAUCUCGACAGCUUCCCUUCCAAUUUAUUCCCACCUAUUUUGAGUGACCUUACUCUAGUGGGUUGAAGGAAAUCAAUGGAUAGUUCACCAGAAAACUGGUUUGAAGCAAUGUCCAAUACAUCCAAAGUUGGGAAAACAGAUUUAUGUUUGAAAUGUUUAAUUUGACCAUAAAACCUGUUUUCCCGCAAAAUGAGAACCUUUAGCGCAGGCAAUUUCUCCAACCAAAAAGGGAAUGUAUCAUUGAUCAUGUUGCUUCCUACAUCCAAAACCAUAAGUUGAGUGCAUUUUGCUAAUGAUCUGGGCAACUUCCCUUCCAAUCUAUUCUCACUAACUUUCAGAAAUUGCAGUUGGGUUGCUUUUGAAAAUUUUGGUAUCAUUCCACUGAAGUUAUUUCCUUGCAAACCCAACCAACUCAGAGCACUCAUAUUGCCCAAGCAAUUUGGAAUUGGGCCACUCAAAUUGUUAUAAGAUACAUCGAAACUGUAAAGUUGACUCAUAUUGCAUAACCAAUUUGGAAUUGGGCCACUCGAAUUGUUAUAAGAUGCAUCUAAACCGCUAAGCUGACUCAUAUUGCAUAACCAAUUUGGAAUUGGGCCACUCAAAUUGUUAUAAGAUGCAUCUAAACCGCUAAGCUGACUCAUAUUGCAUAACCAAUUUGGAAUUGGGCCACUCAAAUUGUUAGAAGAUGCGUCGAAUUCUUCUAAAUUUUCUUGACUCUUUAAGAACUCCGGAAAUGCACUUAUGUUACAAGAUUCCAGACGCAAUCGCCUCAACAUUGGGAAAGAGAAGUUUGCAUCACUUAAAGGAAGUUGUUUUGGAAAAUCAAUCACAUUGAAAGAAAGGUCUAAGGAUAAAAGACUGCUCUUCCACAACCAAUUAGGCACAACACCAUGGAUAUGGUUGCUAGAAAGAUCUAAGUCAACCAACUUGUCUUGUGUUUUGAUGAACUCUGGAAACGCACUUAUGUUACAGGAUGUCAAACGCAAGUCUUUCAACAUUGGAAAUGAAAAGUUUGCAUCAUUUAAGGGAAGCUGUUUUGGAAAAUCAAUCAUAUUGAAAGAAAGGUCUACCCAUGAAAGACUGCUCUUCCACAACCAAUUGGGCACAAAACCAUGGAUAUGGUUGUUAGAAAGAUCUAAGCCAACCAACUUGUCUUGCCUUUUAAUGAAUUCUGGAAAUUCAGUAAGGUUGCAUGACCAUAGCCUUAGUGUCUCUAAUUGGGGUAAAGUAAGACUUCUGUUGUCGCUUUCAAUUAACAAGCUUAUAUUGUUUAGCCAGAGAGUCCUUAAGUUGUUGAGUUGGACAAACAUGUCAAGCUUCAUGGAACUGAAGCUAUUGCUUUCAAUAUAAAGCCAUUCAAGCCUUGGAAGUUGAAGGAUUGACUUUGGGAUUGGUCCUGUUAAAUAAUUAUUGCCUAUAUAUAAUUCUUGAAUCAAAGAAGAAGAUGCAUUGGGGAACUCAUCAAUUUUCCCAACCAAGUGAUUUUCUCCAAGAUACAGGGUCUUUAAUGAUGGAAGAGUGAAUAAAGAAGAAUGUAUUGAUCCAGAAAGCAUGUUCCCUCCCAGAUAUAGGUUGACCAGGUGACUAAGAUUUGUAAUUGACGAUGGAAUAGGUCCAAAAAAAUUGCAAUAAGAAAGCUCUAAAUUUGUCAGGAACUUAAGAUUACCAAUCGAUUCAGGUAGUUUUCCACUGAAAUUUGUAUGAUAAAGUGACAGACUCAGUAAUGCAUUGUUUGCUGGAAAUUCUGGCAACUGACCCAUAAGUUGGUCAUUGCGUGAAAUGUCAAUGCUUUGAAUUUUUGGCAAUAAGAGAAUUCCGGUUGGAAAAUGCCCACGCAAAUUACAGUACCUCAAACUGAGAGAAACCAAACGAGAGGAAAUUUCCAAGAAAUUGGGAGGUAAAUAAGAGAUUGGGUUCCCAUCAAGGAUAAGUUUGGAAAGAAAAGAGAGUCUUGAGAGUGAAGAACAUAAUGGACCUUUCAAACCACAGCUUGACAGACUCAACACAUGCAGGUUUGGAAGUACAAGAGAUGUGGUUUCACACCAUUUAGUACUUUGAGUUGAAAUGUCGACACCAUCCAAAUAAAGCUCCGUGAGAAACUUCAAAUUCUUGAUAAAUGUCUUGAAGUUUGGUUUCUCCAAUUUUAAAGUAGCUGAAUUAUAAUCGUAACCAUUUCUCCAAUAGCAAUCAUCUUGAUAAGAUAGGUUCAGAGAGACUAACCUUGUUAAGAAUGAGAUCUUCAUUGGAAUUUGGCCAUGGAAACAUGAGCUUGAAAGGUUGAGAUGAGUUAGAUUUUGGAGUUUAUCAAACCCAUAGGAAAACAGAGUGGUAUUAAAGUUGUUUCCAGCAAGAUUAAGGUGUUGAAGAUGAUGGAGAUCUAAUAUGGAGUUGAAGCCGCCUGAAAGGUUUUUGUAACUAAGAUCAAUGCCAACAACAUGACCAUAAGCAUCACAAGUGACUCCUUCCCAAGAACAACAAUCAGUGUUGACAUCCCAGAGGUCGAAUUUGGAAGAGAAAGUAAAAUUAGGGGCAUAGUAAAGAUGAUGCUGCAGUUGCAGGAGAGGAGCUCUCUGGUCAUCAAGGCAUUGCUUAGGGAGAUGAGUUUGAGGAG